ACUAUGUUAGCAUGGCUGAUUCUGUCUCUGCCAACACUGGGGCUGUCCCUGAAGCAGCCCCCUGUGGUGGUGGUUGAGGAGGGGCAGCCUGUGAGACUCCCCUGUGACCAGGACAAGACCCCCAAAGCUGUCAUGAUCUGGUACCAGCAGAGGGGAAGCACCUUGCAGCUGCUGCUGUGGUCCUCUGGGCAGAACGUGGAGGUGGAAGCCCAAGGUCUGAUCAAGGGCUUCAGGGGGGACAGGAAGGGCUCCUCUCUGUCUCUGCACCUGGAGAAGUCUCAACUCUCUCACAGCGCUCUUUACUACUGUGCAGUCAAGUCUCUACACAGUGACAGAUCCACACCUGGGGCCAUGACAAAAACCUCCCACAGUCAGCCAACCAGGAAACUAACCAACUAA